UCUUUCCAAUUGACCCAAAAUUGUAAAAGAGCCAACUUCAUUGUCAAUCUUUUGUUACACAGAAAUAUCAGCAAAAUGACGAAAAGCUACUGUGUUGUUCAAUGUACAUGUAAACAAGUAAAAAAAUCCAGAUAUAAUGCUCCCACGUAGGGAAAUAGAGCCUGCAAAAAUAUCCCUGAGGCUACAGGCUAUUCAGUGUGGGAGAGCGGGAAAAUGUUGGGAGCCGGGGCACAAGUAGGCUACAUGUAGCUACAGUGUGUAUGUGGAAAAAUGUCAUCACAGGUUUUUGCUUGAUGGGAGAGUACUGCGGCAUGGACCUUGAUUUGAUCUCUUCUCUUAAACUGCACUGACCAACACUUAAACCAGGCGGCUGCCCACUGGAAGUGAUUGCAGUGUGGCGGCAUGGUGGAUUCCAGGUUUUGGGCUUCGUUUGGUGAGCACAGAGCUAAUGGAGGUUGUUUAAGAGGAAAUGGAAGUCUUGAGAAGAUGGACACAGCCUCUUGGGCUGCACCACUUCCUGUGCCCCUUAGUUUUUUUCGUUGUUUUCUUUGUUUUGGUUUGUAUGAUCAUUUUAACUAGCAUGGUUUUAGAGUCAAAAGUCAAGUAAAUUAUAUUUAUGGAAAC